GUAUAAUAAACAAGGUGCUCGACAUACCAGCAAUACCAAUGCUCUGCCCUGCGUCACUGCCACCCACUUGCAGGAGACUUUUGUCUGUCCCCAGACCUCUUCUGAGCCUCAAGAGAUCCUGCUGAGAUCUCCAGGCUGAGAUCCUGCUCCAGUGUUAUCCUGGUCACCCAGCCCCAAGCAGCCACCGUCCUGGAGGGAGGUAACAGUCCUGGGAAAGUGGGGUUGCAUGGAUUUGAUGUUGCUGUUUUUCUGGGUGGGACUUCUGAGGUUUCACUGAUGCCAUUUCUAUCUGUAAGCACAUAACCACUCUUAUUGUGAAUGGUAAAGGACCCUUCCCUGCACAUCUCCUGUUUUGGGGAGUGCAGAGCCUCAUACACAGACUGUAAACCCCUGCAUCCCACAGCAUCCCUCUCCCUGUGCCCUGAUGAGCACCAAAAACUUCUCACCAAGGACAGAGAGGUUACCCCUGCUCCCAGUGCAGCUGCUCUGUAUAAACCAUGUCCCACAGAUUAUCAUCUGAGGGCAGUAUUUUAACCACAAACUAUUCUUGUUUACCCGUUAUAGAGGCAGCAGGUGCAGGAGGCACUUUGCACUGAGGCAUGGGUGUGUAAGUUAUGGCCAGGGGGAUCAAAGCUCUCAGUGGCACCAAGAGCUGCCAUCACUCUCCAGUGUUACCUGGGGAUCUCCUGCAGACAACUCCCCGUUUGCCCGUGAUUCCCCUCAGCUUUUUAACAAGCCCUUUCCUUAGACAUGGCUUCACCUCCUGCUUCUCACUGGCAGGAGCCCUCCAGCCCCAGCCAUUCCCAGGUUCAGCAGCCAUCAAAGUGCUGCUGAUCAAGGCAUCCCCCAGGAAGGCUCAGCUCCCCAUGUCCCCAGGGAACAGGCAGCUCACAGGCAGGAGCCUGGCAGCUUUGCACUCCUCAUUUAGGCACUGCUGCCCCUGAGGAUGGGGAUGCUGCAAAUGCCCCAAAUUGAAUGUACACCGAGGGAGGGAUACACUGGUCCCUGUGCCAGGCUGGAGGGGCAAAGCAGGGCACAGAGAGUCUUUGGCACCCUGGCUCAGGGCUGUUACCCCUUCACUGGAGGAAGGGAGCUUCUGGGGACAGACUGAUGGACAGAUAAAGAGCACAGUCUGGCAGCCAGCCUCGUGCUGGUCAUCCUCACACUCCCUCUUUGCAGCCUGGCAAAUUUCUUCCUGGAAAUAUUUGUAAAAUGUAGGCAGCUCUUUUAAUAACUGCCACAUGGCAUGCUUUAAAGAAAACCAAAAACCCCAACAGAGUGUCAAUGUCUCCUUCAAGCUAAUAUCAUGCUAAUGCUGAGCACAGUGAGUGGUGCAAGAAGGUGGAUUUACAGCAGAGGCACGGGGUGGAGCACUGAACUCCCUGGGUUUUGGUCCCAGCCUGCUGCAGCCCUGCCUGUGCUGGAGGAGAUUCCUGUGCUCCCAUUCCUGCCACACUGUGCCUCAGUUUCCCCAAUGAACACAGGAGCAGAGAGGCCGGGAAGCAAGUCCAUACCCAUGAAGAUCUUGUGGAGAGAUGAGUGAGGAAAAUACACAUUAUUGAUGAAUUACUCUGGGAUGUCUGUUCCUCUUCUGGAUGCAAAGAGUCCAGGAGAGACUGGGACUGUGCUCCUUCAGGAUCUGGUGCCUGGUGGUGGGGACAGUGGAGGCUGCAAAAAGCCAUCUCAGGGGAUGAUUCCUCAUGCCUGAUCUUGGCCAAGGAAUGAGUGAGAAGAGAUGCUUCGGUCUCCUUUAUCAGACUGGAGAAAGGCACAAGCAGCAGGGUCCCAGUCACAGCUUCCCUGGUCCCAUUUCUGCUGCUUCUGCCCCAGGGGGAUCAGCUCUGCCCGGCACUCACCCAAACCAAGCAGCAUCCCUGCCUGCCCUGGAGGAGGAAGGUGAAGGAUGUCACUCUGGCCAGAGCCCUGGUUUCAGUCUGUGGGCUGACAGUGGAUUUCAGUGCAGACAUCAGGCAGCGCAGCUCUUCCCGCAUCAGCUCACACCUGCUCUGCAAAGCUGCUCUCCAUCCAACACACACAGCCUGUUUGCAAGCUCCGUGUAUGUUUGCAUAACCUCGGGUCUUUUUGGCCGGAAACCAGGCUUUUGGGAGGAUUUCUCAGGCUUUCAAAACCCAUCAUGGUGCUGGGGCUGUGAGUACGUGUGCUCUAACCACACAACGUGACAGGCAGGAGGAAGGAGCGGUGGCCGCGGGAGGGAAAGAUGGGUCCGUCAAAGCUGUGAAAGCAGACUUUCUGGGAUCACACCUUGCUUUUUUCCCUCUCCUCAGAGAUAUUUUCUUUCAAACAUCAUAAAAAUGUAUUGGAUAUUUUUUCAAGGAUGCCCAGGAGAGAGAGCAGAAGGAAAGGCAGCCUGCAGCGUGGCUCUGUGGAUAACUGAUUGCUUUGCUCAUUUUGGUCUGACCCAGAACAAAUAUGUUUCAUUUUUCCAAUGAGCUGGUAAAAAAAAUACAGUCCCCUUAUUUCUAGUUUA